rnacentral:other from 1 species
AUUAACCUGAGAUGCACGAUAACCUUUACUAGUUUUGAACCUACAUUUACUUUAAACGGGAUUCCUAUAUUGCCAGAUGGCUGUCAGGCCUCCACGAUGGUGCUUGCACUGUCGGAUCGCAGUGGAAGACAAAAGUUUGGUUGCGGUUACCCACCUAGCAUUGCUAGGAGUCAAAAAGUAAAGGGCGGCAUUUUGGGCAAACA